GACAGAGGGUGCAAACGUUGCUCGGAAUCACUGGGCGUAAAGGGCGUGUAGGCGGGAAGGUAAGUCGGGCGUGAAAUCCCUGGGCUCAACCCCAGGAACUGCACUCGAAACUACUUUUUCUUGAGUGCCGGAGAGGAAAGCGGAAUUCCUGGUGUAGAGGUGAAAUUCGUAGAUAUCAGGAGGAACACCAGUGGCGAAGGCGGCUUUUCUGGACGGUAACUGACGCUGAGACGCGAAAAGCGUGGGGAGCAAACAGG
rnacentral:rRNA from 1 species